CGCCUCUUGAAAAAUAUAAGAGGUCCAGCCUGCCCAGUGACUCUGUUCAACGGCCGCGGUAUCCUAACCGUGCGAAGGUAGCGUAAUCACUUGUUCUUUAAAUGAGGACUAGUAUGAAAGGCAUCACGAGGGUUAUACUGUCUCCUUUUUCUAAUUAGUGAAACUAAUCUCCCCGUGAAGAAGCGGGGAUCUUUAUAUAAGACGAGAAGACCCUAUGGAGCUUUAAAUAAUAUAACAAUUGCUACUUUAUUUCUACUAACUUUGUAUUAUCUAGCAAUAUGAUUAUUAAUUUUUGGUUGGGGUGACCGCGGAGCAUAACAUAACCUCCACAUUGAAAGGAUAAUACUCCUAAGCUAAAAGCAACAACUUUAUGCAUCAAUAAAUUGACAUCAAUUGACCCAAUAUAUUUGAUCAACGAACCAAGUUACCCUAGGGAUAACAGCGCAAUCUACUUUAAGAGCCCAUAUCGACAAGUAGGUUUACGACCUCGAUGUUGGAUCAGGGUAUCCUAGUGGUGCAGCCGCUACUAAUGGUUCGUUUGUUCAACGAUUAAAACCCU
rnacentral:rRNA from 1 species